CGCGCAGGCGGCGCGUUAAGUCCGGGGUGAAAUCCAUCGGCUCAACCGGUGGGGGACCUUGGAUACUGGCGCACUGGAGUGCGGGAGAGGGAAGCGGAAUUCCACGUGUAACGGUGAAAUGUAUAGAUAUGUGGAGGAACACCGGUGGCGAAGGCGGCUUCCUGGACCGUAACUGACGCUGAGGCGCGAAAGCUGGGGGGAGCGAACA
rnacentral:rRNA from 1 species